CCCUUUCCCUUUACUUCUUCUACAGAGGAGAGUCUAGGGUUUAACAAACAUGUCUUCUGCUUCUCAGUUCCAAGCCCACCGUGGCCAUGGCCUUCCCCAUUUUUCAGUGCAGUCCCCUGAGACCUGCCAUAUUCAAGAAAGGUUCAGGGACAGUAAUGGCUGCUCGAAGGAACAUGAUCCCCUCAAACAUUGUACAUGAAAGAUUUUCUCGUUAAAGGUACUGUUGUUGGGUUUAUGUAUUUGUAAUACAUAAGGGUUUGACAUAGGGAAUGAAGCCGAUUGGUCCGUGUAGCAUAGUUAGAAAUCUAAUAUUCACAAAUUGUUGUAAAGUGCUAUCACAUUGACAUAUUUUGGAUAAUAGAUUUGGUGCUGCAACUUCUGGCUAUAGGCUUAUCAUAAUAAUUUGAUAUCUAAAUCGCAAUUUGCAAGUGGAGGGAAAUAUCACGGAAGUCUAUUUUUAACUUGAUCUCCCUGCAUGAUAUGACAAGGCUCUCUUUAGAAGUUUACAUAGUUUCUUGGUUUUUGUUAUGGCAAGUAGUGACGAUUAGACUCCCCUUAGACCUGGCUGCCCCUGCCUUCUUCUUGGUUAUGAAUCCUGAUGACAUCUAUGCAUGAUCUAGUGGGAGUGAAAAAGAUCCCCUGAAGAAAUCUGCAACACCUAUUCUCUUGAACAAUGUGGGUCUCUCUGGGUAAUGAGGCUCGGUGCAGGUCCCGUAUCUCUGUCCAGUUUCGGGCUGUAAAAUGUGGCUAUGGACAGCCUCUCGUUCUCCCGAUUAACCGUUGCAUGAUCUUCGAUGCUGCGGUAAAUUCAAUCUGUCACAAUCUGUCAAAUGUGAGAGACAUCUAGCUAAUGUCAAUCUAAAUUAUGCAUUCAAAUUAACAGCCUAAUAACGUAACAUAUGAUAUUAUUUGACAAUAAAAGCAUUGUUCAGGGGUUUUAGAGGAACCCAAAUCUCAUCCUUGUUUUAAUCUG
rnacentral:sRNA from 1 species